rnacentral:rRNA from 1 species
GACGAACGCUGGCGGCGUGCCUAACACAUGCAAGUCGAGCGAGUGAAUCUCCUUCGGGAGUGAAGCUAGCGGCGGACGGGUGAGUAACACGUGGGCAACCUGCCUCAUAGAGGGGAAUAGCCUUUCGAAAGGAAGAUUAAUACCGCAUAAGAUUGUAGCUUCGCAUGAAGUAGCAAUUAAAGGAGCAAUCCGCUAUGAGAUGGGCCCGCGGCGCAUUAGCUAGUUGGUGAGGUAACGGCUCACCAAGGCGACGAUGCGUAGCCGACCUGAGAGGGUGAUCGGCCACAUUGGGACUGAGACACGGCCCAGACUCCUACGGGAGGCAGCAGUGGGGAAUAUUGCACAAUGGGGGAAACCCUGAUGCAGCAACGCCGCGUGAGUGAUGACGGCUCGGUUGUAAGACUCUGUCUUCUAGGACGAUAAUGACGGUACCUGUAGGAGGAGCGACGGCGUAACUACGUGCAGCAGCCGCGGUAAAC